rnacentral:rRNA from 1 species
GACGAACCGUGCGAACGUUAUUCGGAAUCACUGGGCUUAAAGGGCGCGUAGGCGGGUCACCAAGUCCGGGGUGAAAUCCCACGGCCCAACCGUGGAAGUGCCUUGGAUACUGGUGACCUCGAGGGGGUAGGGGCGUGCGGAACUCAGGGUGGAGCGGUGAAAUGCGUAGAUAUCCUGAGGAACACCGGUGGCGAAAGCGGCGCGCUGGACCCCUUCUGACGCUGAGGCGCGAAAGCCAGGGGAGCAAACAGG